rnacentral:rRNA from 1 species
GCAGGUGGGCAGACCGCCCUGAACGCCCCCAUCCCCUCUGAUCUCGGAAGCUAAGCAGGGUCGGGCCUGGUUAGUACUUAGUACUUGGAUGGCUUGCU